rnacentral:misc_RNA from 1 species
GAUGAAGAACGCAGCAAAAUGCGAUAAGUAAUGUGAAUUGCAGAAUUCAGUGAAUCAUCGAAUCUUUGAACGCACAUUGCGCCCGCCAGUAUUCUGGCGGGCAUGCCUGUUCGAGCGUCAUUUCAACCCUCAAGCUCAGCUUGGUGUUGGGACUCGCGGUAACCCGCGUUCCCCAAAUCGAUUGGCGGUCACGUCGAGCUUCCAUAGCGUAGUAAUCAUACACCUCGUUACUGGUAAUCGUCGCGGCCACGCCGUAAAACCCCAACUUCUGAAUGUUGACCUCGGAUCGGGUAGGAAUACCCGCUGAACUUAAGCAUAUCAAUAAGCGGAGGA